rnacentral:rRNA from 1 species
UACGUAGGGUGCGAGCGUUGCCCGGAUUUAUUGGGCGUAAAGGGCGCGUAGGCGGUGAGAUGCGUCCGUUGUGAAAUCGCCCGGCUCAACUGGGCGGGGUCAGCGGAUACGGUCUCACUUGAGCAAGCUAGGGGCAAUGGAAUUCCCGGUGUAGUGGUGGAAUGCGUAGAUAUCGGGAAGAACACCAGUGGCGAAAGCGGCUCUCUGGGGGUUUCUGACGCUGAGGCGCGAAAGCGUGGGAGCGAACAGG